AUGUGAUAUUGUCAAAAAUUAAACAAUGGUUGAAGAGAGAGAGGAGGUUUUACUUAUCAAAAUAUAGGCCAAAGUGAAACUCUGAUUUCUUCUGUUUUACUGCUGCACAGGAUGCCGCCAUAUUGGAAAGAACCGUCAGAGGUGGCGCCAUUAGUUCACAAAUUACCACCAAAGUUCCUGAUUCUCCUGGAGAGGAUCGACAGAAAUUUUAUUCUCUUAUAAAGUCUUGUAGGACUGUAAAGAAGAAAAAGUUAAUAACAAAUUAUAAUGUUCUAUAUUUUGCGAAGAAAUGAUGAUUUGUUACUGUCGGGAUUAAUCGGCCCACUCUCCAAUCAUCUGAUUUGGUCUCUUGUGUGGACUGAAGUAUCGCGCGGAUUUCACUCGAGCGGGGAAAGAGGAGGGAACGAGGAAAGAGUAUAAAGAGAGAAUGAGAGAGAGAUAACCAUAAAGUUGGGGCGAUGUGUGGGGGAGAAGGACGGACACUAGUGUUGGCCACACACGUAGCCAAAGAAGACGAGACGCCAGUGGAUCAGAGAGAGACAGGACCAGCGGAUGGGGUGGACGUCGAUUAUUUCUCUCUUCCACUCGUUGCCUCGGCGAUUGUAAAGAAGGACGGAUAAGGGCGAGGGGGAGAGGACCCGCAGGCCGUACAGAGGACCACCCACCUUGCCUCCGAGCCUCUCUCUCGGCCACUGAAAAGUUAAACCAUUCUCGAGGCUCAAGUUCGUAAGUAUUACCGAAAUUUUGAAUUUAGGGUUUUCUGGGGAGAUUAGGAGGAAAAUGAGAGGGGAAAGUAGACGGAUAUCCGGGUGUUGCAGCAGGUUAGGUGGGGGAAUUUUAGCUUUAAUGGGGGAUGAGGGCUUCUGGAUUCUACGCUUGUUUUGGAGAGCUCUUCAUAGAAAAAAAUAUCAGCUAUUGAAAGGAAAGAAUGUCACUUCUUUUUGAUGAUUGCUGGUUUGAUUUAACAUUCGGUAUCCACAGCCACCUUGACCGAGUUCGAUCAUGACACUGAUGGCAUCAUCUCCUGAAAAAAAAUCAUUACUAUGAAAGUAGGGAGACAGGAGACAAUUUUGAACUCAAACGAUCAUUAAUUCACAUCUAAAGUUGUGAAUAAAAGUAUUUUCUCAUUUGUCUAUAAUAAAAAAAUAGCAGACAAUGAAAAAACUGGGGGUCACUUCCUAUGCAUCUAAAAAGUAUGUUAAUCCCUUAAUCCGACAUGAAAAAUAUCACCUCUUAGUACUGCGUUAUAUCUAACGCAGAAUGAGCAAAUUUACCUCCUCACACACUCGUCUCAGGUGUGACAAUUAUCCCGCAGUAUUCAGCAGUCCUGUUACCUCGCCACUUGGUAGACAUUUCCACCUCAUCGUGAAGACAAGUAUUAAAGCGGGGGGUUAUCAAAAUUAAAAGCUCCCCUUCCAUCUUUGCCCCUGAGCACUUUCGGUCUGACGUUUCCAUCGUUUGGGCCGUUUCUACUGAUUUUCGAAUACGAUUUUUUUAGCUGUCCGUUAGUAAUUACGCUACGUUAAAAAUUGUGAGGAAGUGUCAUGAAAUCUUGACCUAAAGUUGCGAAAUUUUUCCAGAGCUCGUCCUGCGAAAAAUUCCGAUACAUCCCUUAACUUUCCGAAUCCAUGCUGUAUUUGGGAAGUGAACUGUCAUUUCCGUAGUUUUUGCUGCUCUGCGUACACAUAUUCAUUCUAACAAUAGACGAAUUGCUUCGCACAGUGUAACAAUUCAAUGACAAUAUCCCUCCGAACUCUUCACCCCCUCGAUAAUUUCUCAUCCACCCCAGAUGAUCUUCCGACCCUAGUCAGUCAGCAUUUUCUGAACAUCUCACUCCACUCUCCAUUUACAGUUAUUCAUCCCUAGGCACAUGUGCACCUAAAAAUCUCUAGUUAUCAAAAAUAAACCCAAAAGAAAUCUCCAACGCAUCCAAAAUAAACUUUUUCCUGAUCUCCACAAUUCUCU